rnacentral:rRNA from 1 species
AUUGAACGCUGGCGGCAUGCCUUACACAUGCAAGUCGAACGGUAACAGGUCUUCGGAUGCUGACGAGUGGCGGACGGGUGCGUAAUACAUCGGAACGUGCCCGAUCGUGGGGGAUAACGAGUCGAAAGCUUUGCUAAUACCGCAUACGAUCUAAGGUUGAAAGCGGGGGAGCUUCGUACCUAGAGCGGGCGGUGCGGCCGCUGGCAGAUUAGGUAGUUGGUGGGAUAAAAGCUUACCAAGCCGACGAUCUGUAGCUGGGCUGAGAGGAUGAUCAGCCACACUGGGACUGAGACACGGCCCAGACUCCUACGGGAGGCAGCAGUGGGGAAUUUUGGACAAAGGGCGAAAGCCUGAUCCAGCCAUGCCGCGUGCAGGAUGAAGGCCUUCGGGUUGUAAACUGCUUUUGUACGGAACGAAAAGCCUCUUUCUAAUAAAGAGGGGUCAUGACGGUACCGGAAGAAUAAGCACCGGCUAACUACGUG